AGAGUUUGAUCCUGGCUCAGGAUGAACGCUAGCGGCAGGCCUAAUACAUGCAAGUCGAACGGUAAAUAUUUUAGCAAUAGGAUAUGAGAGUGACGUACGGGUGCGUAACACGUAUGCAACCUACCCAAAACAGGAGGAUAGCUCAGGGAAACUUGGAUUAACCCUCCAUAGGAUCGUAGAGUGGCAUCACUUAGCGAUUAAAACCUUGGUGGUUUUGGAUGGGCAUGCGUAUGAUUAGCUAGUUGGUAGUGUAACGGACUACCAAGGCGAUGAUCAUUAGGGGACCUGAGAGGGUGAUCCCCCACACUGGCACUGAGAUACGGGCCAGACUCCUACGGGAGGCAGCAGUAGGGAAUAUUGGUCAAUGGAUGGAAGUCUGAACCAGCCAUGCCGCGUGCAGGAAGACGGCCUUCUGGGUUGUAAACUGCUUUUGCCUGAGGAUAAAACGAGCAUGCGUGCUUAAUUGAAGGUACCAGGUGAAUAAGCCACGGCUAACUACGUGCCAGCAGCCGCGGUAAUACGUAGGUGGCAAGCGUUGUCCGGAUUUAUUGGGUUUAAAGGGUGCGUAGGCGGCUCUUUAAGUCAGUGCUGAAAUACCCCGGCUUAACCGGGGGGGUGGCAUUGAUACUGGGGAGCUUGAGUACAGACGAGGUAAGCGGAAUUGACGGUGUAGCGGUGAAAUGCAUAGAUAUCGUCAAGAACACCGAUAGCGAAGGCAGCUUACUAGACUGAAACUGACGCUGAGGCUCGAAAGCGUGGGGAGCGAACAGGAUUAGAUACCCUGGUAGUCCACGCCGUAAACGAUGAGUGCUAGGUGUCGGGGGGGGAACCCUCGGUGCCGCAGCUAACGCAAUAAGCACUCCACCUGGGGAGUACGAUCGCAAGAUUGAAACUCAAAUGAAUUGACGG
rnacentral:rRNA from 1 species